GACGAACGCUGGCGGCGUGCCUAAUACAUGCAAGUCGAACGAAAGCGACCGGUGCUUGCACUGGUCAAUCUAGUGGCGAACGGGUGAGUAACACGUGUGUAACCUGCCCAUCAGAGGGGGAUAACAUCCGGAAACGGAUGCUAAAACCGCAUAGGUCUUCGAGCCGCAUGGCUUGAAGAGGAAAAGAGGCGCAAGCUUCUGCUGAUGGAUGGACCCGCGGUGCAUUAGCUAGUUGGUGAGGUAACGGCUCACCAAGGCCGUGAUGCAUAGCCGACCUGAGAGGGUGAUCGGCCACAUUGGGACUGAGACACGGCCCAAACUCCUACGGGAGGCAGCAGUAGGGAAUCUUCCGCAAUGGACGCAAGUCUGACGGAGCAACGCCGCGUGAGUGAAGAAGGUUUUCGGAUCGUAAAACUCUGUUGUUAGAGAAGAACAAGUGCUAGAGUAACUGUUAGCGCCUUGACGGUAUCUAACCAGAAAGCCACGGCUAACUACGUG
rnacentral:rRNA from 1 species